GUCUCUGUGGCGCAGAGGAUAGCGCGUUGGACUUCUAUUCCAAAGCCCGUGUGUUCGAACCCCACCAGGGAUG
rnacentral:tRNA from 1 species